rnacentral:rRNA from 1 species
AGGACGAACGCUGGCGGCGUGCUUAACACAUGCAAGUCGAGCGGAAAGGCCCUUCGGGGUACUCGAGCGGCGAACGGGUGAGUAACACGUGAGCAAUCUGCCCCUAGCUCUGGGAUAGCUCCGGGAAACCGGAAUUAAUACCUGAUACGACCACGGCUGACAUCGGCCAUGGUGGAAAGCUUUUGCGGCUAGGGAUGAGCUCGCGGCCUAUCAGCUUGUUGGUGGGGUAACGGCCUACCAAGGCGACGACGGGUAGCCGGCCUGAGAGGGCGACCGGCCACACUGGGACUGAGACACGGCCCAGACUCCUACGGGAGGCAGCAGUGGGGGAAUAUUGCGCAAUGGGCGAAAGCCUGACGCAGCGACGCCGCGUGCGGGAUGAAGGCCUUCGGGUUGUAACCGCUUUCAGCAGGGACGAAGCGAAGUGACGGUACCUGCAGAAGAAGCGCCGGCUAACUACGUGCCAGCAGCCGC